AUGCCGUAUAUUAGCACAUUUCAAUGCCAUCCUCUUUCUGCUCAGGGUGUGACUUCACCACUUGCCCUGAAGAGACAGCAAAGCAUCACACCAUGCAUCACGGACAGGGAACCUCUUCCAGACAUCUCUAGUGACAAAGACCCCUCAUCCCCGCGAGUCCACUCCAGAGAAAACUCCUUCAGACAUAGAGGCAGCAUAAACCAGCGGCCUCCACGCAGCCCCACCGUUGUUCCGCCCCUUCACUCUGCAGACUGUCUGCGCCACGGGAACAGCAGUGAUGCCCGGGCUGUGAGAGCGGUCUGUCUGCUGAUGGGUGGAGCAGCCGCAUCCUCAGCGCUGGGCUACCUAAACUCCUGUCCACCCACCUCCUCUAACAUGGCCAUCCAUGCUCCUGAAAUCACCCACUCCACGGCUUUCUCGGAGAUGGGGGGAGGCAGUUCUUACCACGCCUGUAGCCAAGCCAUAGAGUCACCACACUUUAACAGCUUCGACUUUGAGGGAGACUCUGAUUUUGAUGCUUUUGACUGUGGAGGGUUUGCUUUUUAAUGGAAUUUAUUUACAUUAUUCACAGGGUUCCCCCAGUCAUGGAAAAGUUGAAAAUGUUAGCCAAUUUGAAAAUUUACUUUUUUUUGAUAGCAAACAACUGGAAAAGUCAUACACAUUCAUUGGUCAUAAGAUGUUGCAAUGCAAACAGUUUGAAUUAGAAUGUGAAGAUGCAACUGAUUAUAUUCAAAAAUGAAGCCUAUUUUUAGGACCAUUAUGAUUUUAUGUAUUGUCGUAUUAUGUUCAUGAGAAUUUAGCACAUCCCCCUUAUACAAAAUACUAUUUGUUAUAUUUUAUUUUCAUUUUUGUUUAAAAUAUGUCCCAGAAAUCUUUUUGGCAGGUUUUGUGUGAUUCAUCCAACUCAUAUGUUGUGGCUAUUGUAUGUUUCAGUAUAAUAUAUUAUUAUAUUAUUAUAUUAUAAUAACUUCCAUUUAUAAAUCAUUAACAAACAUUAUAUAAUGCUUAACAGAUCAUUAGUUCAUAUAUAUUCACAUAGCUAGAAAUAUGGGAUAAUGUUCUUGUUAAUGUUUACUAAUGAAGUUACUAAGUUACCUAAUGAUUGACAUAUGAUUAUUUAAUGUACACUGAAAUGCUUAUAAAUGUCAGUAAACCUUCAGUUUAUAUGAUCUUCAUUUGUUGGUUUUUGUUCAUUGUGUAGACCUCUAUUUACAGAUCCUAACAAAUAAUCUAUCAAUUAUUUGUUCAUGAUUUCGCAGUACCCAAUCUAAAGUCGAAGCUAUUCAUCAUUUGCAAAUGUUUACAAACGAUUACUAAUCAUUUAGUAUCUUUGUGGGCAUUGUACUUAUGUAACAAGGUUUGUGUAAAGGAUGGCUGGUUAUGUUUAGCUAAAUGCUUGCUAAAGACAUAACAGCUUAAAUUUUGGUGCAAACAAGUGUUUAUUGCCUUAGUACUCACAUUAGUAUACUACUUUUCAGUAUAUCAUUAAACAGGAUAUUCUUGAAUCAUAAAUAAACAGGAAAACAAAUCAUUUUUUAAAAGAAGAUACUUGUUCCUUUAUCAAAACAGUGUAACCAUGUUCCCUUAUAAUACUCAAACUGACCCCUAUUCUGUACACUGUUGGGGAGUGAAACAUCCAAGGUUCAAAACUAAGGUUAUCUGUGAGACUGAGUGAUGGUGCUAAAUUCACUAUUAAUUUCUCAGUGCCAUCACUCGGCCUGAUGUUCACGAGAAGUUUAAACGGUUCAUCCAAUGGUUCAGCAUUGCUUUUGCUGUUCCAGCAGUCCAGUGUAUACGAUCCUCCUCCACCUCAAAAUCCUCCCUGGGAAGCUCUUCGAUGGAAACCAAUGUGUCCCUUAUAUAUUUGUUCAUCUUUUCUAAAUGGACCUGUUCAUCCAAGGGUAGAUUUUCAGAGAAGUUGACCAACGGGAAAUACAAAUCAGUGUGUGGCAAUCGGCUUCUCGCCAUUCUGUAUGUUCUAUGUAUCUCCUUGAUGGUGAGCUCAAUACAUCUCUGUGCUCGGUUAUUAAUCCCCAGAGAAAAGAUCAGCAACUCAGGCUCCAUCGCUAUGGUGGCCUUUUCCAUCAAGUUGCCCGCGUGUUGAAAUUUUGCUCCUGGGAAACAGUCGAUCUGCAGAUCUGCAUGAUUAAAGGUGGAAAUUCUGCCCACAUUAGAGUCCCCAAUGAUGACAUAUUUUUUUUUAAGGUUUAGACUCCAAUCUUGGUUCUUUCUAGUGGUAUGAAUAUGUUUACUGGGUCUGCCCAUCGAUCUUGGGGUCUCUGGUGUCCCAGGAACCGCUUGUUCAAACACGCGGUCAAAUUCUGUCUCUCUCUCUUUUUCUGACCCGGCUGCCUCAUCUAUCUGUCCUAUUUCAUCUGCGUUCUCCUCUAAAAACCUCGUGAGAGCAGAACGCGGAGCGAUACUAGUGAGUGAAUCUUCAUUAGAUCCCUCUGAAAAUAAGACAGGUGAAGACUCCAAUCUGGUGAGGGAAUGUCGUGCAGGCAUCGGCGGUUGAUGUACUUGAGCUACUGUGGUCACUCUGUUAUCUCUUACAGUGUUUUCCUGUGCUACUGUUUCAUUUACAAUCUCUCUCGCAGUGAUCUCUCCGUCUUUGAUGGCGUUAGCUCCCACCGUUGUAGGAGGUUGAGCCUGUUUUGCUGUGUUUAUUUCACCACUGGGUAGCUCAGUGAUCUCAUCUUCUUCCUCCAGCAGCAAUCUUUGGUAUAGUCUGCGGGGUGUUCUUUGUUCUAAGGGUGCUUGUGGCCUGACAGGCGUUGGUACUAUGGCUGGGGUUUCUAAUGGUGGGAAAUCAUGUUCAUCAAACGACCACUCUCCUCUAGCCCCAUUUGUCUGUGGAGAUCUUUGUUCCAACAGAAUGGGCGAGGUCUGUGCGUUCACUGUUUCUCUCUGUAUUACUUCUAUAAUCUGAUCCUGUACACGUGUGUCAGUGAUUGUGCUCGCGGGAGCUCGAACACUGUGUCUCUUUUCCCCACCAUUUCUCUCAGCGGUCAUGUGUGCCAGAAAUAGUGCUUCAGUUUUCUCAAAUACCUCCUCUGUGAUCCUAUUUCUAUAGUUCUUUCUGGCCCAGUUACAUGCCACCUCGAAAGCCCAUUUCCAAUCGUCCUGAUCCGUUCUCUCUUUCAGUUCUAUGAUUGCUCAAUCUAUCUCUUUCUCGUAAUGUUCCUCUAAAAUCACUUGUGUGUUAUACAUCCAAUUUUUUGCAUUACCCUCUAACAAUUCUGCAGUUCGUCUUGUUGGGGCUGCUGGUUUCACUGUGUUAAUCAAGAAAUCUGUUAGCCUCUUAAAGCCACGUGGGAUAUUGUUCGUGACUUUAGUGGUGACUUUUUGUAAGAGAUGUACAGUGCGUGUGAGUUCAUACAUCAGCUUCAUCGUCAAUUUGAGCUUAGGAGAUGGUGGUGUGUACUCCGAGUCUCCACCGUGUCUGGACUGUUCGAAGUACCUUUGACGCCCCCCCUGUCUCCCUCUUCUAGGGGGGAAGCGGUUUACUCUAUCCCGGUUUAUGUGGUGUGUGUUGUAGUUGUAUGUGUCUCUGUUGUAUGUUGUAUUGGUGUUAAUGUCUUUGUUUCUUUUGUUACCAACCGCCGUUGGUGCUCUCGAAUCUAAGAUGGAAGCACGAGCAGAGUCUGAAUAAACAUCUCUCUAUCUUAUUGUUUGCGCUGUAGGCCACUCGGUCUCUACAUACUCGUCUUCCUGUCUUACGUGUUCAUCGUAUCUCCUCUGAUCCUCCACACGUUGUGUGAGAUCAUCAUGUCUGGUUUGAUCAGCAAAUCUAUCGCUACAGUAGUUACUGUUAUAAUAUUCUCUCUGUCUGUACCUCGGUGGUGGUUCCUCGUCAAAAUCUAUAACGUCCGUUGGUUUUUGACCUCGAGGAAGUGCCCACCGUGUGAAUUUACGAUUGUGACCCUUUCUGUUUUUCAUUUUAUUCUGAGUAAUAGGUUCAUGUGUGGACUCAUUUCUUUUUCUCCAUGUUGGAUCCACACGAGCAUCUGUGUUUGCUGUGUGUUCCUCAUCAAACCUCAAAAGGUCACGAUUUUCUCCGUUGUCAUCGUUGUAAUCUGUUUCUCUGAAGUCAGAGUAGA
ensembl:lncRNA